GCUUAACACAUGCAAGUCGAGCGGUAAGGCCCUUCGGGGUACACGAGCGGCGAACGGGUGAGUAACACGUGGGUGAUCUGCCUCGCACUUCGGGAUAAGCCUGGGAAACUGGGUCUAAUACCGGAUAUGACCUGCUGUCGCAUGGCGGUGGGUGGAAAGAUUUAUCGGUGCGAGAUGGGCCCGCGGCCUAUCAGCUUGUUGGUGGGGUAAUGGCCUACCAAGGCGACGACGGGUAGCCGACCUGAGAGGGUGACCGGCCACACUGGGACUGAGACACGGCCCAGACUCCUACGGGAGGCAGCAGUGGGGAAUAUUGCACAAUGGGCGAAAGCCUGAUGCAGCGACGCCGCGUGAGGGAUGACGGCCUUCGGGUUGUAAACCUCUUUCGACAGGGACGAAGCGCAAGUGACGGUACCUGUAGAAGAAGCACCGGCCAACUACGUGCCAGCAGCCGCGGUAAUACGUAGGGUGCGAGCGUUGUCCGGAAUUACUGGGCGUAAAGAGCUUGUAGGCGGUUUGUCGCGUCGUCUGUGAAAACUCACAGCUCAACUGUGAGCUUGCAGGCGAUACGGGCAGACUUGAGUACUUCAGGGGAGACUGGAAUUC
rnacentral:rRNA from 1 species